GCUUUAUACCAAAGACAACAUAGAAUAAUUCUGCAAAUGUAUGACGUUGCCACAGGUCUCCUGAUUUAGCAUAGUAUCAGACAAAAAAUAUAUUUAUCCCUAACACCAAAAAUUGAUGAAUUAUAUGGGGCAGCAUGGCCAAGUUAAAUAGGGUCCUUUGGCGAGAUUCCUGGAUGUUAGGUAUAUGGAGCUUCAUCAAAAAUUAUUUGGAAGCAAUGGGGUACGUUCAGCUGAAAUUUCUUAGAGACCUUGAGAAAACAGUGGCUAUAAUUUAUGUUUCUGAACCAGAACUUUUUGACAUGUCCAAAAGGCCUUCCACUGAGAGUGCUGGGAUAAGGAACGCUGCCCUGCCAUUGUUCCAUGUGCAUGUCACAGCUCGGUUGUAAAGAGAAGAUACAGUUAUAAGCAAAUGGAAGAAAAAGAGAUGUAGACAGCAAUUGAGAGAAGCAAUUGAAGAUGGAAACAGAGCUGGACAACCAUAGUGGAGAAAUGAAGAAGAGAGGGUAGAGGACCCACCUGAGGUCCAGAUAGUACGAGAUUCAAAAAAACCUCAUGUUGUAUUUUGGAGAUUUAUCAUCAAAUUUCUCUCAUACUGGAGCUUCCAAAGUGAAUCACUGCUGUCUACUGCAGACCCAGCUCCUGACCAGGGCCCCCCAGCUGAGAAAACUAGGUGGAGCCACAGUUCGGAGGAGCCGAGGGGAAGGUAAGAAUGCAGCUGGGCAAACAGAGCUGGCAUUGUUCCCGGCAGCAUCGAGGCUGCAGCCUGGGAUGGCGCCUUCCACAGAGUGCAUCUGACAAGCACAUCGGCCUGGCCUCUGUGUUUACACAGGUGCCUUUCUCCCCAGGGGAGCCCUGGCUCUGCAAACACGCGUGACUGGUGACUGCAUGCUGCCAUAAGAUGGAUGCUCACAUCUGCAUGCUGCCAAGGGGAGAAACUGAGGCCCAGAGCAGGGAAGAAAGGCUUUUGGGCUAAGCAAACCAAUGAUGGACACCGGAAGGUCAAGCAGGUGUUCAGUCUCCCCCCCCAAGCCUCUCUGGUUACUAGGCCCCUUUGUUCUGUCAGACCUGCUUUUAACAAGGAUGAGGCCUUGGGCUUUUCCCUUGAGGAGAUUGCUACAGCUUUCCCAUCUACCACACCCAGUCUGUGGGGGAGGCAGUGACCCUGGCCACCUGUUAGUAUACCCUUGCCAGCAGAAUGGCAGGGAAGGAGGGAUUGGAAAAUAUUGUCAUACUCACAAAAUGUCCCCUCGGUGCUCCUAAUACCCACUGCACUGUAUUCAUAUGAUUUUCCUCUCCACUUGCCCCAGUAUCUCCUGGAAAACAAACUUCAAGGCAAGUGAAAGUA
rnacentral:lncRNA from 1 species